rnacentral:rRNA from 1 species
AGAGUUUGGUUCAUGGCUCAGGAUGAACGCUGGCGGCGUGCCUAAUACAUGCAAGUCGAGCGAACUGACGAGGAGCUUGCUCCUUUGACGUUAGCGGCGGACGGGUGAGUAACACGUGGGUAACCUACCUAUAAGACUGGAAUAACUCCGGGAAACCGGGGCUAAUGCCGGAUAACAUAUCGAACCGCAUGGUUCGAUAGUGAAAGACGGUCUUGCUGUCACUUAUAGAUGGACCCGCGCCGUAUUAGCUAGUUGGUGAGGUAACGGCUCACCAAGGCAACGAUACGUAGCCGACCUGAGAGGGUGAUCGGCCACACUGGAACUGAGACACGGUCCAGACUCCUACGGGAGGCAGCAGUAGGGAAUCUUCCGCAAUGGGCGAAAGCCUGACGGAGCAACGCCGCGUGAGUGAUGAAGGUCUUCGGAUCGUAAAGCUCUGUUGUUAGGGAAGAACAAAUGUGUAAGUAACURUGCACAUCUUGACGGUACCUAACCAGAAAGCCACGGCUAACUACGUGCCAGCAGCCGCGGUAAUACGUAGGUGGCAAGCGUUAUCCGGAAUUAUUGGGCGUAAAGCGCGCGUAGGCGGUUUUUUAAGUCUGAUGUGAAAGCCCACGGCUCAACCGUGGAGGGUCAUUGGAAACUGGAAAACUUGAGUGCAGAAGAGGAAAGUGGAAUUCCAUGUGUAGCGGUGAAAUGCGCAGAGAUAUGGAGGAACACCAGUGGCGAAGGCGGCUUUCUGGUCUGUAACUGACGCUGAUGUGCGAAAGCGUGGGGAUCAAACAGGAUUAGAUACCCUGGUAGUCCACGCCGUAAACGAUGAGUGCUAAGUGUUAGGGGGUUUCCGCCCCUUAGUGCUGCAGCUAACGCAUUAAGCACUCCCGCCUGGGGAG